UGGUUCCAGUGACCCCCAUUCAAUUCAGUGACUCUGCGACCUUCACGUGUGUUUUGCCCGAUGAAGAGCUGAGCAGUAGAAAACUCCACUGGUACAAGCAGCGUGCCGGGGAUACUCUGAAAUUAAUCAUGACACUGUGGAAAUCUGCAAAACCUGAAUAUGCACCAGCAUUUUCUGAAUCAAGAUUGAAGGAAACACUCAGAGGACAUCAAACUAUACUGUCAUUCAUGGGCCGACAGUAUCUGAUCCAGACCGUCCAGGAGACUCAAUAACUGUUCAGUGUUCAGUCCUCUCUGACUCUGACAACAAGACUUGUCCAGGAGAUCACAGUGUGUACUGGUUCAGAGCCGGAUCAGAUAAAUCUCAUCCAGACAUCAUUUACACUGAUGGAAAUGGACAUGAUGAAUGUGACAAGAGAUCUGACUCUCAGAAAAGCUGUGUUUAUCGCUUCUUCAGGAACAUCAUCUCCUCUGAUGCUGGGACUUACUACUGUGCUGUGGCCGCAUGUGGAGAGAUAUUAUUCGGAGAUGGAACAAAACUGGACAUUCAAGGACCCAGUAUUUGGUCAGAGAAGACCAAUGCAAUUAUGUUUCUGCUGUCUGCUGUCUUGGCUAUAAGUCUGAUUGUUAUAACCUUCCUCAUUUACCCCAUCAAGACAAGCAAGUGGUAUUGUUCCAACGGUAAUAGAGGUUACUUAUGUUUCUUAAAAAAUUAAAACAAAAUUUAAAUUACUGCAUCCUUUUUUAUUGUUACCUAUAUAUUCUCUUUCUCAUAAUCCAGCCGCUGUCAACCUGCAACAAAACAGUGUUUUUUUAUUCUUAUUAAACCAGUUAUGAAGCUUUUUUAACAUUGUCAUCUCAUGUAUUUUCUCAGAGAGAUGAGGACACAUGGAUUUAUUCUGCUGUCGUCUUUGGUGUGAUGAAAGGUGUGAAUUAGCGGUUAAGGUGGUGAACAUGAACUGAAAUGUCCCCUGUCCAAGUCUGGCUGGAGACGUUUGUUGCAUUUCUCUCGCACAUUUUCUGUUAUGUCUCUACUGUCUGUAAUAAAGGUUAAAAAAUGCCCAGAAAUACACAAAGUAACUUUUUCCAAGAAGAAGAACUCUAUUUCUGUUAACAUUGUUGUUUGGUAAUGGGCCGAAUAUCAGAGCGGUUUAGAGGUAUAAAAUUAGUGAAAAAGAAUGUGAUAGACUGGAUUAUUGUUAUUUUAAUCCAAAUAAUAAUUCGUAUACAUACUCAGUAUCAGCUAGUACCCUGUAGUGAAACUGGUUUCAGAAGAGAGAAAGUCAGAUCAGAGGUUAUUUGAAAAUGAGUUUAUUAAAUCAUAAAUGACUUUUGUUUGGAGAAAACGACCAUAUGGCCAUAAUAUUUAUGCAUGUUGCUUUUUCUUUAUUGUUUUUGUUGUGUUCUGUUUGUGAACAACAACAAAAUCUGUGUCACAUCAGAAGCAAACACAGAUCUGUUGAUGACACAGCUUCUCACAAAACGUGCUGACUUAACAUAACAACUGAAAAUCUAAUGCUGUCGCAUAAAAUCAGCAAAAUAAAAAAACUGUUAAUUGAAAAUAUGUAUAUUUUGUUACACAGCAUCAUUAUGGACACUCUUGUGUGAGUCUCUCCCUUCUUCUUCCCUCUUUUCUCUCUCCAUGUGGAUAAAAUUGUGUGUCAAGACAAAUGUUUCUGAGAUUAGGGCAUCAUGAGAACUUAAGUCAUAGACAUCUCAUCUUUUUUUGUAAUUUCAGUAAUGUCAUCAAUAUAUUUACAUCUCUUGACUUUGAUACAUUAUGUUGAGUUUAUAAUAGUUAUUACAUGAAACUGGUGAUUAAUUAUACCAAGUAGAAUUUUAUUGAGUUUUUACACACAAAGGACACAAGUUCACUCUGACAGUUCACCCAAGAGCAUGUUAAAUUUUUUGGAUUUCGCUGAUGUGUUUAUUUGAUUAGCAUCACCUUUCUGUCUGACAAGUCUGUCUUUUACAUGUUGUCUGGAUUAAAUCAACAGUGAACAACAGCAAUUUAUUGACGUGAUACAAUGAAUAUGAGAUUGUGUAAAGUCAUUUGGUAAUUAAAC